GACGAACGCUGGCGGCGUGCUUAACACAUGCAAGUCGAACGAUGAAGCCUAGCUUGCUCUGUUGUUUAGUUGCGAACGGGCGGGUAAUACACGAGUAACCUACCUUUCACUCUGGGAUAAGCCUGGGCAACUGGGUCUAAUACCGGCCACAACAUAUUUUCGCACGGGGUGUUGGUGGAAAGCGUUAUGUAGUGGUGAUAGAUGGGCUUACGGCCUAUCGGCUUGAUGGUGAGGGAACGGCACACCAAGGCGACGACGGGUAGCCGACCUGAGAAGGGGACCGGCCACCCUGGGACUGCGACACGGCCCAGACUGCUACGGGAGGCAGCAGUGGAGAAUAUUGCACAAUGGGCGCAAGCCUGAUGCAGCGACGCCGCGUGAGGGAUGACGGCCUUCGGGUUGUAAACCUCUGUUAGCGGGGAAGAAGAGAAAUUGACGGUACCUGCAGAGAAAGCGCCGGCUAACUACGUG
rnacentral:rRNA from 1 species